UACAGAGGUCCCAAGCGUUGUUCGGAUUCAUUGGGCGUAAAGGGUGCGUAGGCGGCGCGGUAAGUCGGGUGUGAAAUCUCGGAGCUUAACUCCGAAACUGCAUUCGAUACUGCCGUGCUUGAGGACUGGAGAGGAGACUGGAAUUUACGGUGUAGCGGUGAAAUGCGUAGAUACAAUCAAGAACUCCGAUUGCGUAGGCAGCUAACUAGGCUGUAACUGACGCUGAGGCACGAAAGCGUGGGGAGCGAACAGG
rnacentral:rRNA from 1 species